rnacentral:rRNA from 2 species
CAUGCAAGUCGAACGAAGCUUUCUUUCACCGAAUGCUUGCAUUCACCGAAAGAAGCUUAGUGGCGAACGGGUGAGUUACACGUAGGCAACCUGCCCAAAAGAGGGGGAUAACACUUGGAAACAGGUGCUAAUACCGCAUAACCAUGAACACCGCAUGAUGUUCAUGUAAAAGACGGCUUUUGCUGUCACUUUUGGAUGGGCCUGCGGCGUAUUAACUUGUUGGUGGGGUAACGGCCUACCAAGGUGAUGAUACGUACCCGAACUGAGAGGUUGAUCGGCCACAUUGGGACUGAAACACGGCCCAAACUCCUACGGGAGGCAGCAGUAGGGAAUCUUCCACAAUGGACGAAAGUCUGAUGGAGCAACGCCGCGUGAAUGAAGAAGGCCUUCGGGUCGUAAAAUUCUGUUGUCAGAGAAGAACGUGCGUGAGAGUAACUGUUCACGUAUUGACGGUAUCUGACCAGAAAGCCACGGCUAACUACGUGCCAGCAGCCGCGGUAAUACGUAGGUGGCGAGCGUUGUCCGGAUUUAUUGGGCGUAAAGGGAACGCAGGCGGUCUUUUAAGUCUGAUGUGAAAGCCUUCGGCUUAACCGAAGUAGUGCAUUGGAAACUGGAAGACUUGAGUGCAGAAGAAGGAGAGUGGAACUCCAUGU